rnacentral:lncRNA from 1 species
AUUUAGGGGACAUCCAUAAAGUGGGGAAAACUCUGUACCUAUUAAUCUGUUUAACUGUUAAUCUAAGGGGAGGAGAGGGAGGGGAGGUGUCCACGAUAUGAUUGGGUACUGUAGUAAUUGUGAAAGUUACCUCCCUUGCAUGGGAGAAAUGCAUAAAAGCAGACCUGUGAAUAAAGCUGUCAGUUGACUCCCAGACUAUGUGUCGUCUAGUCCUUGGGGAGGUGGAUUAUGCUGUGUUCCUGUGAUUUUGUAUGCUGAAUCUUUGUUCCCAGCGGAGAGCUAUUGGAUUAACCCCUGCUAC